rnacentral:rRNA from 1 species
GUCCACGCCGUAAACGAUGGGCACUAGGCGUCGGGGGAGCGACCCUCCCGGUGCCGUCGCUAACGCAGUAAGUGCCCCGCCUGGGGAGUACGGCCGCAAGGCUGAAACUCAAAAGGAAUUGACGGGGGCUCACACAAGCGGUGGAGCAUGUUGUUUAAUUCGAAGCAACGCGCAGAACCUUACCCGGGUUUGACAUGCUAGUGGUAGGAAUCUGAAAGGAAGACGACCCUCUUUUGAGGGAGCUAGCACAGGUGUUGCAUGGCUGUCGU